rnacentral:rRNA from 1 species
CCUACGGGUGGCAGCAGUGAGGAAUAUUGGACAAUGGACGAGAGUCUGAACCAGCCAAGUAGCGUGAAGGAUGACUGCCCUAUGGGUUGUAAACUUCUUUUAUAUGGGAAUAAAACGUUCCACGUGUGGGAUUUUGUAUGUACCAUAUGAAUAAGGAUCGGCUAACUCCGUGCCAGCAGCCGCGGGAAUACGGAGGAUCCGAGCGUUAUCCGGAUUUAUUGGGUUUAAAGGGAGCGUAGGUGGAUUGUUAAGUCAGUUGUGAAAGUUUGCGGCUCAACCGUAAAAUUGCAGUUGAAACUGGCAGUCUUGAGUACAGUAGAGGUGGGCGGAAUUCGUGGUGUAGCGGUGAAAUGCUUAGAUAUCACGAAGAACUCCGAUUGCGAAGGCAGUUCACUGGACUGCAACUGACACUGAGGCUCGAAAGUGUGGGUAUCAAACAGGAUUAGAUACCCGAGUAGUC